rnacentral:rRNA from 1 species
GACGAACGCUGGCGGCGUGCUUAACACAUGCAAGUCGAACGGAAAGGCCCCUUUGGGGGUACUCGAGUGGCGAACGGGUAAGUAACACGUGAGUAACCUGCCCUUGACUUCGGGAUAACUUCAGGAAACUGGGGCUAAUACCGGAUAGGAAUCCUUGCUGCAUGGUGGGGGUUGGAAAGCUUCGGCGGUUUUGGAUGGACUCGCGGCUUAUCAGCUUGUUGGUGGGGUAGUGGCUUACCAAGGCUUUGACGGGUAGCCGGCCUGAGAGGGCGACCGGCCACAUUGGGACUGAGAUACGGCCCAGACUCCUACGCGAGGCAGCAGUGGGGAAUAUUGCACAAUGGGCGGAAGCCUGAUGCAGCAACGCCGCGUGCGGGAUGACGGCCUUCGGGUUGUAAACCGCUUUCAGCAGGGGCGAAGCUUGUGGUGACGGUACCUGCAGAAGAAGCACCGGCUAACUACGUG